rnacentral:lncRNA from 1 species
CCGCACAUCCAGGUGGUAGAACCACUUCUGUUUCAAAGAUGGACUGGGGAAAGACAUUAAGUUUGGAGCAGCUCAGGGCUACGGAUCUAGCCUUUCUCCCUCGGGUCUCCAGGCUCACUUAGGUCCAAGCUGCGGAGCAGGGACAGCGGAGCCCAGGCAGCCACGUUCAGGCCCAGCCACCAGCUGCUGAGAACCAGAGGGAAACCUACUCCUUUGGAAGAGCAUUUCCCCAGAUUACCUUGCCACUGCUGAGGAUCCCUUCAACACUGGUCCCUGAGCACGGACUUCAAGAAGACUCCAUGGAUGACAUCCAGUCUUUUCAACUGCAGCUUUCCCUCUAUUUCCUUCUUUGCUUCCUUCCCUCCACUGAGGCUCUCAUCGGGGUCAGAUCAGAGAUGACCCAGCUGGACAACAGGCUUGGAGGACCGACCUCUUAGAGUGUCAGCGGUCAACAGAGCUGUCAGCUACAUAGAAAGAUAAGAAGAAAACAUGCUUUGUGGAAGGGAGAGGAAUGGCUUGAUAAUUCCUUAGAGGCCAAUCAAAUUUAGAAAAAUGUGGACUUUUUUUCCCCCCCUGCAAGGCUUCUGUUUUGCCCCUACUAGGAUGUAUAAUCUGGGUGUUCCUGCUGGACUCUCAGGUCGAGGAGUAGGUAAUGUCUGCACUUCCCUAUUGCCAAGGGCUCUAACUGUCUCUAUUGCCUUUCUUUAGCUUGUUGAAGGAGAGACACUGGGUCGAAGCAGAGAGAAUCAAAUGAUUGAACUUCACUCAUCUACCCAGUGGUCACACAGCUGGCAGCCCUCCAUACUCCAAGCCUCUACUCAGCUGGGUGUGGUGAAACUCUAGCGCUUAGGUGGCUUAAGUAAGAGAAUCUCAUGCUGGAGCCCUGACUGGGCUACAUAGAGAGACUCUCCAAGCAAAACAGCAGUAACAACGCCCCUUCCCUUGAAAAAAGAUUCCUGACACUAAAGGGCCUGUUUUGUCAACUUAGUUAAUGAUUCGUUUUAUAUAAAAGGAACAUAUAUUUUGAUUUUUUUCAUGGAAAAUAAAUUAUUUAUAUAAUUCUAAUUUGAUUGCAAUCUAUGUGAAUGCCCCUCUAAAAAAUACCAUUGCAAUAGUCAUUGCCACACAGAUGUGUGUUGUUUCUUAGCCAGGCGAGCUUGUUAACCAAAAAUGACUAUCUAGACCAGGCCUUCUUAUACUGUUUCUAUUCAUUGUCCCUUUCCCUUGAGAAAUUUUUAUAUGACUCCAUGUAUGUAAGGUAGUUUUAUAAGUCAAACAUUCACUCAUAAUAAA